rnacentral:rRNA from 1 species
AACGAACGCUGGCGGCAGGCUUAACACAUGCAAGUCGAGCGCCCCGCAAGGGGAGCGGCAGACGGGUGAGUAACGCGUGGGAAUCUACCCAUCUCUACGGAAUAACGCAUGGAAACGUGUGCUAAUACCGUAUACGUCCUUCGGGAGAAAGAUUUGUCGGAGAUGGAUGAGCCCGCGUUGGAUUAGCUAGUUGGUGGGGUAAAGGCCUACCAAGGCGACGAUCCAUAGCUGGUCUGAGAGGAUGAUCGGCCACACUGGGACUGAGACACGGCCCAGACUCCUACGGGAGGCAGCAGUGGGGAAUAUUGGACAAUGGGCGCAAGUCUGAUCCAGCCAUGCCGCGUGAGUGAUGAAGGCCCUAGGGUUGUAAAGCUCUUUCACCGGUGAAGAUAAUGACGGUAACCGGAGAAGAAGCCCCGGCUAACUUCGUGCCAGCCGCCGCGGUAAUAC